CGGACGGGUGAGUAAUGUCUGGGAAACUGCCUGAUGGAGGGGGAGUAACUACUGGAAACGGUAGCUAAUACCGCAUAACGUCGCAAGACCAAAGAGGGGGACCUUCGGGCCUCUUGCCAUCAGAUGUGCCCAGAUGGGAUUAGCUAGUAGGUGGGGUAACGGCUCACCUAGGCGACGAUCCCUGGCUGGUCUGAGAGGAUGACCAGCCACACUGGAACUGAGACACGGUCCAGACUCCUACGGGAGGCAGCAUG
rnacentral:rRNA from 1 species